GGCACUUCCAGCUCCUGCGUGAACGGACUCCAUAGAAGAACAAUAUAAAGAUUUUGCUGAAUGAGAACAAAAAACUGAUGGAGCAGACUGUUCUGCCAGCAUCCUGUGUGGAGGCAAAGAGGUUCUGUGAAGAGGCCGGAAUGAACAUCUGUGUCCCCAGAGCCAAACAGUUGCAGGUCCAGCAAGUAUCGGCAUAGCAAGAUUUCCUGAAGUGGAAAUGAGUACAGACCACAGCAGCACAGCCUGCUUGACUGUAAGAGACUUGUACAUAACAUAGCUCCCACUAAUUCUUCAUUCAACAGAAAACCUGCUGGAUAAAAGCCUUGGGCACGAAGUCAUUCAAGUUAAGGUAAAGAGAGCUGCUAUUAGAAGAAGCUGCACACUGUGGGGCAAGUCUGAAACAGUGGCCAAGAACAGAGUCUAAUCCACCACCAAUAUAUGAUCCUUUGCUGGGAAACAAGCCUGCUCUACACAGCCUUGGGAACGAGCUAAGCCAGAUUGGGGAAUAAGAAUAAGGAAGGAUUAGAGGAAACAAUGCAGACACUCUGAAGCAGAGAGAACUGAUCACCCAGGAAAGUGACUUGGGAGAAACAGUGUAGAAGAAUUGUGACAUCUUUGAGAUCAGGUAGGAACAUAGGCUGGCAGAAGCCAGUUGGAUUUCCUGUCCUAUAUAACUAUCCUUUGUGGGUGACUGACCUCCUACGUGGUUUCAGCCUCAGUCAGCUAAAGAACUACUCGGAGUAUUAUUCUGGUACAGUUUAUAUGAAUUUUGUCCAUAAUGCAAUAUAUGUGAUCUUCAAGAUUUCUUGGUAUUUUCUACUUCUUCUUCCUCUUACCUCUGUGGUAAACUCUGAGAACAUUUUCUUUUCUGUUCUCUCACAAAUUGCCUUACAAUGACUAUACACAUACAGGGGUUCUGUUCUGUUUGUACACCACCAUCACCUUUAAUGCUUAGAGUGUACACUGGGAAGAUUUACACGGAGCCCAUUCUCAGUGAUUACAGGAUGUAUGCAGUGCCCAUGGUUUUGAUGUGAGAUGGUUUCUCUGUGUAUUUACAGAUACAGUGGUUACAAAUGGAACCUAGGCAGGUUCCUUCACUGCAAAAAUAAUCUGAACCUUCACUUCAAUUCUGAGCAGGUUCUCCAUAAGACAUCCACAUGGUAUUCUAGGUUGCUCAUAUCUCUCUUGAACUCAGAUUCAGACAUAGCCACAAUGUUGUUAUUCAAUAUAAUAUACCUGGACCAGUGAAAAAAAUAUGCUCAUUUUUCUUUUGAUUCCAGUACUGUGCGUAGUCCACAGUUCGAUUUCUAGCAGUUUUUAAAAGCUGAUAUAUAAAUCGAAGCCCAUUUACUCUAUGACACUUGGGGAUGCAGGAAAUGACCUCAGUUGACAGGUAAUGCUGGAUUGUCCAACCGAAUGGAGCUGACAUAAGAGGGAGAGCUGAAUCAACAAACCCUCACUAAUCCUUUUUUCCCUUGCUCUGCUACGUCUAAAAUUCUCCAGCGAAACUCGAACAUGGCAUAGACCAGAACAAGAUCUCCCUUGGAGAGCAGUGCCACAGGAGGAGUCUAAGUGUGCACAACAAAUACACCACUAUUACAUCGCAUCCUUAAUAUCCAUAGCAGUUGUGGGCUGCAUUUUCCUACUUUAGUUUGAUUUCUUUGGAUUGAAUAGGCCAUACUUUCAUCUCGGCUCUCCCCAGCAAGCGUGCACAUUUGGAAGGACUCAGAGAAGAGCUGAUGCACAUCAAUCGAGAACUGCUGGGCAUCCAGGAAGAGUGUGCACAUGUACAUUUGUACUUGUCCUGAAGGGUCACCCAGAAGAGUUUCAUGGAGAUCAGUCCACAACAUUGGAAAAACUUUGAGUCAAAGACUGUCAUAUGUUUUAUACUCAGUAUUGGAUGGCUUUGUCCUUCAUACCCUCACUCCAACAAGGCAGACCUACUUACAUUCCCCUUGAAAAGAUUAUUA
ensembl:lncRNA